GUUCUUAGGGCCUCCUGUCCUCUGCCAGGAGAGGGGAAGCUUUGUGUGGCUGAGUGGCCAGGAAGGAUCUGCUCAGGAGCAACACUGAUCCCCCAGGGUGGCUGGGAGAUCUCCCCAGGCUUCCUGGGAGCACAAACUUCCCUUUCAAAGGUUUUGUGAACCUUAUGAAGCAGAGCCAGAGCUCUGGGAGCCACCUGCAGCACAGCAGAACUCCCCAGAGGAGGACGAGAUGUACAUUUAACUCCCUCUGCUUUAGUUACAUGAGCCAGUGAAAAUAUCAAAUAACUCUGCCAGCCUGGGUGCAGCAGACGAGGCCUGGGGCUGCUUAAUUUGGCACCAAGAUCCCCCAGGAGCUGAAGGAUUGGAAGGGUCGAGCGCUUUCCCCUCCUUCCUUCCAGCUGGCUGAAAGCACAUGACUCUUCCAUCUGCUAAACAAACUAAAGAAGCCAAAUACCGUCUGAUUUCUCCGUGGAAAAUUAACCCGAUUAUUCGAUAAUGCUGCUGAAUUUAUCAGGGGCUUUUCCAUUGAGGCGUUCAGUGCAGUAAUUAGACUCGGUAAUUGUGGAGGGCUGAACGUGAGCAGCUCGCACAAAAGGUGUUCACUGAAGCUCUCCCUGCGGCCCCGCUGGAUUUUGGCUGGGGCUGCUGGAUUUUGGCUGGGGCUGCUGGAUUUUGGCUGGGGCUGCUGGAUUUUGGCUGGGGCUGCCUUUACACAGGGCGCCGAUGAGCUGCUCAUUACCAAAGCUCAUCAAAAUUACACCGAGGGAAGGAAGCCGGCGGUUGUGUCUGAGCGAGGAGUCGCUGCCAAGAAACGCAGUCUCGAAGCCUUUACCCCCUUCACUGGCGAGCGUGAGCGCUCCCAAUCUGCUCGAAUUCACCCCAAAAACUGAGCUGCUGCCCGGGCUAGGCGGCCCCCGGAACCAAAGAGCGCGGCCCGGCUGCCGCCCGGCCCCGCGCGUGGCGGACGGAGGCGGGAGGCGGCCAGCGCGGCCCCGGCGGCGGGAGCCCCGCUCGGGGCGGCGGGACCCGGCCCGGAGCUGCCAUGGCCCGCAGCCGCUCUCGGAAGCGGUCGCGGAGCAGGAGCAAAAGCGACUCUCGGAGCAGGCAGGAGAGGAAGGAGAAGAAGAGGAGGAAGAGCAGCAAGGACUCGCAGCAGGGCAGCAGCUCUCCACUGAGGAAGAGGAUCUCUGGCUCUCACGGACACACCUCGAGCUUGGCAGCAGCCAGGGAAGAAAAGAAAAAGGAAGGAAAGGACAAAAAGAAGAGGAAGGCUAGUACCUCUUCUGGGACGUCUUCGUCCACCAGCUCUUCCUCAUCUUCCUCUUCCUCCAGCUCCUCUUCUGAUGACUCCAGUGACAGCGACUCCAAAGUGAAGAAGAGUCAAGACAGCAAAAAAAAGCGAGUGAAACAAAAAGACAAAAAGAAGAGGAAGAAGAAGAAGAAAAAAAUAAAGAAGAAAUCAAAGAAGAAGGCAAAGGAGAGGGCUAAGGAGGAGAAAGCCAAGGGAGAAGAGGUGCCCGGGCCCUCGCUGGAGCAGUGGCAGAAGGAGUCAGUGGUGGACUCUGGGCCAGUUCUGACAGAUGAACAGAAAUCCCGGAUCCAGGCCAUGAAGCCAAUGACAAAGGAGGAGUGGGACGCGAGGCAGAGCGUCAUAAGGAGAGUGGUGGAUCCCGAAACAGGGAGAACCAGGCUCAUUAAAGGGGACGGGGAAGUCCUGGAAGAAAUCGUCAGCAAGGAGAGACACAAGGAGAUUAACAAGCAAGCCACGCGUGGGGACGGGCUGGCCUUCCAGGUGAGGACGGGAAUGCUGCAGUGAGGGCAGGCACCAGGCAGCCCAGGAGCCCCUCCUGCUGCCCCUGCCAGCCCGAGGGGAGCCUCUGCCUCAGGACCUCGCAGACAGCACCGUGUCAAGAUGUUCCCCAGGGGCCCUUUCCAGCUGCUCUCACACCAGGCAUUGGAACGAUGCACUAACAGCAAGGAGGAGAAGGAAGUUGUACAGAAGGUUUGCCACACACACGCGAGUCAUCGGCACGGCACACGCGGGGCGUUCCCGGCGCCCUCGGGCAUCCCCCGCUGCUUCCCCACGCACAGCUGGUACCCCUAGAGCAAUUUUUUAUAAAUAAAAUAUAACUAACAUUGUUGGAAUAUAAAAUUGACAGUCGAGGGUAUCAACAGGCAGAGGGAGGGGACCGUAAGGCUUCUAGAACUAAUAGGAAAUGCAGCAAACAGUGGCGAUACCUGAAGAAGGGGCUGCUACAGCAAGCACGGCGGCUGCUGGGAGGGUGGUGGUGACCCUUUGGCUGAUUUCUGCUCUGGGCUCGUGCCCCCGACACUGUAAACUGUUUUUGGUAUUAGGAUUUUGCCUCAUCUGACUGAGUGAUCUGAGCAAACCCAGGAAAACGACUCGGAGGGAAUGCACGGGCUCCUCUCACUGGUUUUUUAAAAGACUUUAAAGGGACCAGCGUCAGGUAGAAAGUCCGGCCUAAGGGUGCAGUAAUAUAAAAAGCUGCUUUUCGUAAAAAAUCUGAGCUCUGCAGCAGAGUUUGAUUCCCAUGGAAACAGAAAAGCAACCCCAAAGCCCGAGGCUGUGUUGUGCUGAUGUGCAGAACAGGACGUGGGCUGUCACCGAGGGCUGCCCAGACAACGGCCGAGGGAGGAGGACAAGAAACUUCCCAUUCUCUCCUUUCAAAGCAAACAAGUUACUC